GCUCCGGUGGCCUAGUGUUUAGAGCGUCCACCAGAAAUGCGGGAGGUCGUGGGUUCGAUCCCCGGCCUAGUCAUACA